rnacentral:rRNA from 1 species
GACGAACCGUGCGAACGUUAUUCGGAAUCACUGGGCUUAAAGCGCGUGUAGGCGGGAGGGCACGUCCGUCGCUGAAAUCCCCCGGCUCAACCGGGGAACGGGCGCGGAUACGACCUUCCUGGAGGGACGUAGGGGGACCUGGAACUUCCGGUGGAGCGGUGAAAUGCGUUGAGAUCGGAAGGAACGCCCGUGGCGAAAGCGAGGUCCUGGACGUCUGCUGACGCUGAGACGCGAAAGCCAGGGGAGCGAACGGG